rnacentral:misc_RNA from 1 species
GGCUUGUUCAGUUGCUCUUAAAAUCCAAUGCUGCAGGGUGCUUGGUUGAGGAUUAUGCUGCCUGCUUAGAGCUGCGAUCUGAAGAAUGUCAAAUUAUAGAGGAUUGCCGUGAAGAUUCAGGUGUUCUCAUACUACAACUGCUUAUGGAUAAUAUUAGCCGGCCUGCCCCUAAUAUCACACAUCUAUUACUCAAAUUUGAUGUCGAUGGGGCUGUUGAGA